rnacentral:ncRNA from 12 species
CUCUUAUAUUUUUGUGCGAUUAUAUAUUUUACGGAAUAUAUACAGUGCUAAUAUUAGAUAUUAAAGGGAACUUAUUCCUUCUUAAAAGAAAUUUUAAGUAAAUAUGAAUUAGGAACAUUUAUAUUAGUAAGCAAAUUUGCUGAAUAUAUAAAUGUUUC